rnacentral:rRNA from 1 species
UACGAAGGGGGCUAGCGUUGCUCGGAAUCACUGGGCGUAAAGCGCACGUAGGCGGCUUUUUAAGUCAGAGGUGAAAUCCUGGAGCUCAACUCCAGAACUGCCUUUGAUACUGAGAGGCUUGAGUCCGGGAGAGGUGAGUGGAACUGCGAGUGUAGAGGUGAAAUUCGUAGAUAUUCGCAAGAACACCAGUGGCGAAGGCGGCUCACUGGCCCGAUACUGACGCUGAGGCACGAAAGCGUGGGGAGCAAACAGG